UACGUAGGGCGCAAGCGUUAUCCGGAAUUAUUGGGCGUAAAGAGCUCGUAGGCGGUCUGUCACGUCGGCUGUGAAAUCCCGAGGCUCAACCUCGGGUCUGCAGUCGAUACGGGCAAACUAGAGUAUUGCAGGGGAGACUGGAAUUCCUGGUGUAGCGGUGAAAUGCGCAGAUAUCAAGUGGAACACCAGUGGCGAAGGCGAGUCCCUGGACAACUCCUGACACUGAGGCACGAAAGCUAGGGGAGCAAACAGG
rnacentral:rRNA from 1 species